rnacentral:rRNA from 1 species
GAUGAACGCUGGCGGCGUGCCUAAUACAUGCAGGUCGAGCGAACAGACGAGGAGCUUGCUCCUCUGACGUUAGCGGCGGACGGGUGAGUAACACGUGGAUAACCUACCUAUAAGACUGGGAUAACUUCGGGAAACCGGAGCUAAUACCGGAUAAUAUAUUGAACCGCAUGGUUCAAUAGUGAAAGACGGUUUUGCUGUCACUUAUAGAUGGAUCCGCGCCGCAUUAGCUAGUUGGUAAGGUAACGGCUUACCAAGGCGACGAUGCGUAGCCGACCUGAGAGGGUGAUCGGCCACACUGGAACUGAGACACGGUCCAGACUCCUACGGGAGGCAGCAGUAGGGAAUCUUCCGCAAUGGGCGAAAGCCUGACGGAGCAACGCCGCGUGAGUGAUGAAGGUCUUCGGAUCGUAAAACUCUGUUAUUAGGGAAGAACAAAUGUGUAAGUAACUAUGCACGUCUUGACGGUACCUAAUCAGAAAGCCACGGCUAACUACGU